AAUAAACGUUGGCGGCGUGCUUAACACAUGCAAGUCGAGCGAGAAAAGUUUUCGGACUUAGUACAGCGGCAAACGGGUGAGUAACACGUGGGAAUCUACCUUUUAGUGAAGAAUACCCUCGAGAAAUCGAGGUUAAUGCUGCAUACGUCUCGCAAAGAGAGAAAGAUGGCCUCUUUGCUGUCGCUGAAAGAUGAGCCUGCGUACUAUUAGCUAGUUGGUGGGUAAAGGCCUACCAAGGCUAUGAUGGUUAGCCGGCCUGAGAGGGUGUACGGCCACACUGGAACUUAGACACGGUCCAGACUCCUACGGAGGCAGCAGUGAGGAAUAUUGCGCAAUGGGCGAAAGCCUGACGUAGCGACGCCGCGUUGGAGGAUGAAGGUCUUAGGAUUGU
rnacentral:rRNA from 1 species